rnacentral:lncRNA from 1 species
UGAUGAGCUCUCCUCAACAUCUCCAUAUCAUAUCUCCUAGUGAAGGUUAUAAAUUUAGUCUUCCAGUAUCGACUAGCUCCCCUUGACUUCUGUGGUUACUCCAGUUGUUGGGCAUUGGUUGCUUCUGACUUUGGCAUAUAUUGGUCUAUCCACAGCUCUACAUUCAUCUUAGCUAAGAUUUGUCGUACUAGUCAGUACUGGUACAUAUUGACUAUACCAACCGUAUCGGUAUGUGGUACGAAGGGGCAUACUGACCAGCCCCCAAACCUAGCGUACCAUACUGUAAUAGGAUGGUACCAAUACAAACUCCGGUACUGAGACGAUGAACCUUGAUCCCAGCUUUCUUUGCUAUCAUACCAGUAGAUCAAUGAGGUGAUUGGGCUCAAGUUUUGGCUAUUGCUGACCCUCAAGCCAACCUACCAUGGGAUACUCAUCCUUAUAUACAAAGGCAUUGUAAGGUGGCUCAUCAUAUUUCAGUUGCAUCUAUGGACGAACUAAGUUAUUCAAUCUCGUGUCUGGCGACUCCUUUGUUGUGUAUUAAUGGGAAGGUUGACCAAUUGUGCUUGCAACCAAUGGAGAAGACUGUUUAUAAAAGGAUCUAGAUUGCUAAUCUCCUGUGAUUUUUAAAUGACAAUCCAAAAAGGAUCACCAUAUAGCAACAAAUGCAAUCAAGCAAAUUGCAUAUUAGACACCAUAUAUCAUAAAAUAUUAGAACAGCUUGAGUCAAUAUUCAAAAAUACUUGAAUUCAUAUUGUCUUUGCUUGCCAUAGCUGCCUUUUCACCAAAGCUAUUGGAGCCCUCUCUAAAAGCUUUAAUUUAUUAAACACAAACAUUUCUAGGAUCAUAUCUCUACUUAAAUUUAUAAAAUGUUAUUUUCAUGAAAUUUAACUUACCUCCUCCAAGCAUCUAGCAGCAAUGGCACAUCAAGCACCAUCUCCGGACAUUAUAUUGGA